rnacentral:rRNA from 1 species
GAUGAACGCUAGCGACAGGCCUAACACAUGCAAGUCGAGGGGCAUCGGGACGUAGCAAUACGUUGCCGGCGACCGGCGGAUGGGUGAGUAACGCGUAUGCAACCUACCCGUAGCAGGGGGAUAGCCCGUUGAAAGACGGAUUAAUACCCCGUAACACAGGGGGCUCCGCAUGGAGAUUAUUGUUAAAGGGUCAUUUCUUUAGAGGUGGUCCGGCUGCGGAUGGGCAUGCGUUCCAUUAGGUAGUUGGUGUAGGUAACGGCUCACCAAGCCGACGAUGGAUAGGGGAACUGAGAGGUUGGUCCCCCACACUGGUACUGAGACACGGACCAGACUCCUACGGGAGGCAGCAGUGAGGAAUUUUGGUCAAUGGACGCAAGUCUGAACCAGCCAUGUCGCGUGAAGGAGGACGGCCCUAAGGGUUGUAAACUUCUUUUGCAGUGGAAUAAAGUUUGCCACGUGUUGGCGAUUUGCAAGUACGCUGCGAAUAAGGAUCGGCUAACUCCGUG